rnacentral:rRNA from 1 species
AGCGAACGCUGGCGGUAGGCCUAACACAUGCAAGUCGAACGGCAGCACAGUAAGAGCUUGCUCUUACGGGUGGCGAGUGGCGGACGGGUGAGGAAUACAUCGGAAUCUACUUUUUCGUGGGGGAUAACGUAGGGAAACUUACGCUAAUACCGCAUACGACCUACGGGUGAAAGCAGGGGAUCUUCGGACCUUGCGCGAUUGAAUGAGCCGAUGUCGGAUUAGCUAGUUGGCGGGGUAACGGCCCACCAAGGCGACGAUCCGUAGCUGGUCUGAGAGGAUGAACAGCGACAGUGGGACUGAGACGCGGUCCUGACUCCGACGGGAGGCAGCGGUGGGGAAUAUUGGACGAUGGGCGCAAGCCUGAUCCAGCCAUACCGCGUGGGUGAAGAAGGCCUUCGGGUUGUAAAGCCCUUUUGUUGGGAAAGAAAGGCAGCAGGUUAAUACCCCGCUGUUCUGACGGUACCCAAAGAAUAAGCACCGGCUAACUUCGUG